AUUGAACGCUGGCGGCAUGCCUUACACAUGCAAGUCGAACGGCAGCGCGGGGCAACCUGGCGGCGAGUGGCGAACGGGUGAGUAACAUAUCGGAACAUACCCUAGAGUGGGGGAUAACGUAGCGAAAGUUACGCUAAUACCGCAUACGCACUAAGGUGGAAAGUGGGGGAUCUUCGGACCUCAUGCUCAUGGAGUGGCCGAUAUCUGAUUAGCUAGUUGGUGAGGUAAAGGCUCACCAAGGCGACGAUCAGUAGCUGGUUUGAGAGAACGACCAGCCACACUGGAACUGAGACACGGUCCAGACUCCUACGGGAGGCAGCAGUGGGGAAUUUUGGACAAUGGGGGCAACCCUGAUCCAGCAAUGCCGCGUGAGUGAAGAAGGCCU
rnacentral:rRNA from 1 species